rnacentral:rRNA from 1 species
AUUGAACGCUGGCGGCAUGCUUUACACAUGCAAGUCGAACGGCAGCGCGGGCUUCGGCCUGGCGGCGAGUGGCGAACGGGUGAGUAAUGCAUCGGAACGUGCCCAGUAGUGGGGGAUAGCCCGGCGAAAGCCGGAUUAAUACCGCAUACGACCUGAGGGUGAAAGCGGGGGACCGAAAGGCCUCGCGCUAUUGGAGCGGCCGAUGUCGGAUUAGCUAGUUGGUGGGGUAAAGGCUUACCAAGGCGACGAUCCGUAGCUGGUCUGAGAGGACGACCAGCCACACUGGGACUGAGACACGGCCCAGACUCCUACGGGAGGCAGCAGUGGGGAAUUUUGGACAAUGGGGGCAACCCUGAUCCAGCCAUGCCGCGUGCGGGAAGAAGGCCUUCGGGUUGUAAACCGCUUUUGUUCGGGAAGAAAUCCUCUGGGCUAAUACCCCGGGGGGAUGACGGUACCGGAAGAGUAAGCACCGGCUAACUACGUG